AGUGAACGCUGGCGGUAGGCCUAACACAUGCAAGUCGAACGGCAGCACAGUAAGAGCUUGCUCUUACGGGUGGCGAGUGGCGGACGGGUGAGGAAUACAUCGGAAUCUACUUUUUCGUGGGGGAUAACGUAGGGAAACUUACGCUAAUACCGCAUACGGCCUACGGGUGAAAGCAGGGGAUCUUCGGACCUUGCGCGAUUGAAUGAGCCGAUUUCGGAUUAGCUAGUUGGCGGGGUAAAGGCCCACCAAGGCGACGAUCCGUAGCUGGUCUGAGAGGAUGAUCAGCCACACUGGAACUGAGACACGGUCCAGACUCCUACGGGAGGCAGCAGUGGGGAAUAUUGGACAAUGGGCGCAAGCCUGAUCCAGCCAUACCGCGUGGGUGAAGAAGGCCUUCGGGUUGUAAAGCCCUUUUGUUGGGAAAGAAAAGCAGCAGGUUAAUACCCCGCUGUUCUGACGGUACCCAAAGAAUAAGCACCGGCUAACUUCGUG
rnacentral:rRNA from 1 species